UACGGGGGGGAGCAAGCGUUGUUCGGAUUUACUGGGCGUAAAGGGCGCGUAGGCGGCUUGGCAAGUGGAUGGUGAAAUCCCUCGGCUUAACCGAGGAACUGCCGUCCAAACUGCUUUGCUUGAGACCGGGAGAGGUGAGUGGAAUUCCCAGUGUAGCGGUGAAAUGCGUAGAUAUUGGGAGGAACACCAGUGGCGAAGGCGGCUCACUGGACCGGUACUGACGCUGAUGCGCGAAAGCGUGGGGAGCAAACGGG
rnacentral:rRNA from 1 species